rnacentral:pre_miRNA from 1 species
UAGUUUUGUCCUAAGUCAAAUUUUUCUACAUUGGACCAACUUUGUUGAAAAAAGUAGCAAUACAUAUGGCAUCAAAUCGGUAUAUUAUGAAACUACAUUUCAAAAUGGAACUGAUGAUGCUAAUUUGGUGUCAUAAAUGUUGCUAUGUUUUUCAAUAAAGUCGUUCAAACUUUAAUAUCUUUGACUUAGGACAAACCUAG